rnacentral:lncRNA from 10 species
GCCUGACUCACCCUGGCUGCUGCCCAUUGUGGCUGCCAUGGAAAUACAACUCGAGGAGAACCCAGACCAGGACAGGGAGGCCAUGUUCUGGGUGGCAGUGGAGCCUGGCAAGGUGCCCUCCUGGCCUGGGACUGCUGUGGCAGAGGAAGCAUGAGGUGGGGCCUGGCCUGCCCAGCUCAGAGCUGAGGUGCCCCCUUGGUUUUUUACCUCCCUGUUCCCUGGCUGGCCCACUGCACCCACGCACUCAACGCAGUGGCUUCGCUCCUCCUCCAGGAUGGCUGGAGGUGGGACCAUUGCCAGGAUGGCCUCAAGUGCCCAGCCCUCCUGGAAGACUCAGUUUCCCUCUUUGUCCCAUGCAGAGGUGCAGAGAUUCAUUAUUGCUGGAGUGCAAUGGCGUGAUCUUGGCUCCCUGCAACCUCUGCCUCCCUGCAACCUCUGCCUCCUGGGCUCAAGCAAUUCUCCUGCCUCAGCCUCCUGAGUAGCUGGGAUUACAGGCACCUGCCACCACGCCUGGCUAAUUUUUGUAUUUUUAGUAGAGAUGGGGUUUCACCAUGUUGUCCAGGCCGAUCUUGAACUCCUGACCUCAGGUGAUUAGCCUGCCUCGGCCUCCCAAAGUGCUGGGAUUACAGGUGUGAGCCACCAUGCCCGGCCAGUGCAUCAUAUUUUAAUGAUGAUUAUCGAAGAAGCCAAGGGACUGAGAAAUGUCUAGCUGCUUCUGGAAGAUUCUUGCAACUGCUGGCUGCUUCUCAUGCUGUUUUCUCAUAUCCCUUAAGUCUAAUUAAACUUGCAACCCAUUUGUAGGCUGGGGCCGUUCCGGCUACAUCCUCUAUACAGCCCAAUCCCUCAUGCCCAUUCUGUGUUGGGAGAAGGGGAGCAC